GACGAACGCUGGCGGCGUGCUUAACACAUGCAAGUCGAACGGAAAGGCCCUGCUUUUGUGGGGUGCUCGAGUGGCGAACGGGUGAGUAACACGUGAGUAACCUGCCCUUGACUUUGGGAUAACUUCAGGAGACUGGGGCUAAUACCGGAUAGGAGCUCCUGCUGCAUGGUGGGGGUUGGAAAGUUUCGGCGGUUGGGGAUGGACUCGCGGCUAAUCAGCUUGUUGGUGGGGUAGUGGCUUACCAAGGCUUUGACGGAUAGCCGGCCUGGGAGGGGGAACGGCGUCAAGACGACUGAGAGACGGAGCAGACGGCAAUGGGAGGCAGUAGGGGAGAGUAUGACACAGUGAGCGGAAGCGUGUUGCGGAGGUGUCGCGAGCGGAAUGACGUCCUUCGGGUGAUGAACCGCUGUCGCCUGUGACGAAGCGGGAGUGACGGUAAUGGGUAAAGAAGCACCGGCUAACUACGUG
rnacentral:rRNA from 1 species